CGUGAGGUAUUUAUAAAUCCAGUUCCUGAAGCGAAACUGGGUGGAAUUGUCCCGCAUUUAGUCACUAAAGUUGGCGUUUGGACCCCAUGAGUCUGAUAAUGAACCGACAGACUGACAUCAAGCCAAGUUGUACUUGUUUGUGGACCAAGCACUGCAUUCAAUCUGAAUGAAAUAAUCCUGAAAGACUGGAAGCUGAAAUAAAACACGUUCGUGUUGUCUAUCAUCUGAACCUGAAGGAAAACACCAAGCAGUACACUUUCAAGGACCAGCUGUCAACUUCAGGACGACUGAACCAAGCCACCAACAAACAGCUUUGCAAAACAGUUUAGGGAAGGCCUGUGCACAAAGCAAGAAACUUCAGUGUCCUGCACAGACCUCAGCCCCACUCAACAGCACUUGACUCAGAAUCGAGAUCACUGCUUGUGCUGGACGGGACCUCGAUCACAGGGCGUGUCAGGAAGCCACACAGCCAGCAAGAAGAUUCUUCAG